rnacentral:rRNA from 1 species
UACGGAGGGAGCUAGCGUUGUUCGGAAUUACUGGGCGUAAAGCGCACGUAGGCGGCUUUGUAAGUUAGGGGUGAAAGCCUGGAGCUCAACUUCAGAAUUGCUCUUAAGACUGCAUCGCUUGAAUCCAGGAGAGGUGAGUGGAAUUCCGAGUGUAGAGGUGAAAUUCGUAGAUAUUCGGAAGAACACCAGUGGCGAAGGCGGCUCACUGGACUGGUAUUGACGCUGAGGUGCGAAAAGCGUGGGGGAGCAAA